ACUUAUUCCUUCAAUUGCUUUCAGUUGAUUUACUCUUAAUUUAGUUAUAGAUUUGUCCAAAUGUUUUUGUGUUCGUUAGAUUAAGAAAUUAUUGUUGGUUUAUUCGUGUAUUUUAAUUACGGUUUUACUAAAAAAUUUAGAGGAAAAUUUUUAAAACUUUCUCUGAAGUUUUCCUGUAUUUAGGUAAAUAUUUAUGAAGGAUUUAGGAUUUGAAAAUAUUUAUUAUGCUCUCAGAUAGUUUAUGCUCAUAAAUAAUAUUAUAAUUCAACAUGCAACUGAAAAUAAUUAGUUAAAUUGAAGUCAUUUAUUUUAUUACAGAGCAGGAAUAUUAACAAAACUAUCAUUCUAAGAGGCAUUCAAGAACUGAAUAAAAGAACACAUGAUCAGAGAUUGAAGUCAUGCGGGGACUUGAAGUGCUUAUCAGUAGCCCAGAACAAACUUCAGAGUUUGAAAGGAAUUGAAGGCUUCAGUAAACUAACUAUACAUACUAAGAAGGCAUGUUGAAAGGUAUUCACAAAUGAUGCAGAGAAUAGUUUCUAUUUAAUCUGGCCGUUCAGUUUCUCUAGCAAAGAAGGUUUAUAUAGAGUUUCAAGUCAUUAAUGUCUGUUAUUGAAGAAUGGAAAGACAACAAUCUGUAUUGGGAGUAUGAAAACCAUCAUACUGUUUCAGCACUCUUGUCUUCAUUAUAUUUAGCCUUUAUUAAAUUUAAAUUUAAAUUUAAAUUAAAUUCUGAUUCUGAUUUGUAAUAA